GAUGAAGAACGCAGCGAAAUGCGAUAAGUAAUGUGAAUUGCAGAAUUCAGUGAAUCAUCGAAUCUUUGAACGCACCUUGCGCCCUUUGGCUAUUCCGAAGGGCAUGCCUGUUUGAGUAUCAUGAACACCUCAACUCUCAUGGUUUGCCAUGAUGAGCUUGGACUCUGGGGGUCUUGCUGGCCUAUGGUCAGCUCCUCUCAAAUAAAUCAGCUUGCCAGUGUUUGGUGGCAUCACAGGUGUGAUAACUAUCUACGCUUGUGGUUUCCAUCAGGUAACCUUCAGUGAUGGAGGUUCGCUGGAGCUCAUAAAUGUCCCUCCUCAGCGAGGACAGCUUUUUGAACGUUUGAUCUCAAAUCAGGUAGGACUACCCGCUGAACUUAAGCAUAUCAAUAAGCGGAGGA
rnacentral:misc_RNA from 1 species